rnacentral:piRNA from 1 species
UGUCCCAUUCUGGCUGGAGAACACCCAGC